UCGUGAAAUGUUGAAAGGGAAGGAUAUGAGAUCAGACUUGGUGUUUGCAACCUUAUCUUCGGAUGGGGCCCCUGCAGUUUAUCGGGCCAGCAUCAGUUUGGAUGGUUGGAUAAUGACAUUGGAAUGUGACUUGGCUUCGGUUAAGCGUUAUUUCCCUUGUCCACACU
rnacentral:rRNA from 1 species